rnacentral:rRNA from 1 species
AGAAUGAACGCUGGCGGCGUGCCUAACACAUGCAAGUCGUGCGCGAUGGGGAGCAAUCCCCGGAGAGCGGCGAACGGGUGAGUAACACGUGGGUAACCUGUCUGGAAGCGGGGGAUAACCUGGGGAAACUCGGGCUAAUACCGCAUACGAUCAUGGGGCUUCGGCUCUGUGCUGAAAGGUGGCCUCUUCUUGAAAGCUACUACUUCCAGAGGGACCCGCGUCUGAUUAGCUAGUUGGUAGGGUAACGCCUACCAAGGCGACGAUCAGUAGCCGGCCUGAGAGGGUGAUCGGCCACACUGGAACUGAGACACGGUCAGACUCCUACGGGAGGCAGCAGUGAGGAAUCUGCGCAAUGGGCGAAAGCCUGACGCAGCAACGCCGCGUGGAGGAUGAAGGUCUUCGGAUUGUAAACUCCUGUCAGAAGUGGACGAACGGUCAAUCGACCUAAGACGACGUGACCUUGACGUACAUCAGAGGAAGCCACGGCU